rnacentral:rRNA from 1 species
AACGAACGCUGGCGGCAUGCCUAACACAUGCAAGUCGAACGAGAUCUUCGGGUCUAGUGGCGCACGGGUGCGUAACGCGUGGGAAUCGGCCCUUUGGUUCGGAAUAACAGUUGGAAACGACUGCUAAUACCGGAUGAUGACGAAAGUCCAAAGAUUUAUCGCCAGAGGAUGAGCCCGCGUAGGAUUAGCUAGUUGGUGUGGUAAAGGCGCACCAAGGCGACGAUCCUUAGCUGGUCCGAGAGGAUGAUCAGCCACACUGGGACUGAGACACGGCCCAGACUCCUACGGGAGGCAGCAGUGGGGAAUAUUGGACAAUGGGCGAAAGCCUGAUCCAGCAAUGCCGCGUGAGUGAUGAAGACCUUAGGGUUGUAAAGCUCUUUUACCCGGGAUGAUAAUGACAGUACCGGGAGAAUAAGCUCCGGCUAACUCCGUGCCAGCCGCCGCGGUAA